rnacentral:rRNA from 1 species
GGGGAAUAUUGCACAAUGGGGGAAACCCUGAUGCAGCAACGCCGCGUGAGUGAAGAAGUAUUUCGGUAUGUAAAGCUCUAUCAGCAGGAAAGAAAAUGACGGUACCUGACUAAGAAGCACCGGCUAACUACGUGCCAGCAGCCGCGGUAAAACGUAGGGUGCAAGCGUUGUCCGGAAUUACUGGGUGUAAAGGGAGCGCAGGCGGGAAGACAAGUUGGAAGUGAAAACCAUGGGCUCAACCCAUGAAUUGCUUUCAAAACUGUUUUUCUUGAGUAGUGCAGAGGUAGAUGGAAUUCCCGGUGUAGCGGUGGAAUGCGUAGAUAUCGGGAGGAACACCAGUGGCGAAGGCGGUCUACUGGGCACCAACUGACGCUGAGGCUCGAAAGCAUGGGUAGCAAACAGGAUUAGAUACCCUGGUAGUCCAUGCCGUAAACGAUGAUUACUAGGUGUUGGGGGAUUGACCCCCUCAGUGCCGCAGUUAACACAAUAAGUAAUCCACCUGGGGAGUACGACCGCAAGGUUGAAACUCAAAGGAAUUGACGGGGGCCCGCACAAGCAGUGGAGUAUGUGGUUUAAUUCGAAGCAACGCGAAGAACCUUACCAGGUCUUGACAUCCGAUGCAUAGCACAGAGAUGUGUGAAAUCCUUCGGGACAUCGAGACAGGUGGUGCAUGGUUGUCGUCAGCUCGUGUCGUGAGAUGUUGGGUUAAGUCCCGCAACGAGCGCAACCCUUAUUGCCAGUUACUACGUUAAGAGGACUCUGGCGAGACUGCCGUUGACAAAACGGAGGAAGGUGGGGAUGACGUCAAAUCAUCAUGCCCUUUAUGACCUGGGCUACACACGUACUACAAUGGCGUUAAACAAAGAGAAGCAAGACCGCGAGGUGGAGCAAAACUCAAAAACAACGUCUCAGUUCAGAUUGCAGGCUGCAACUCGCCUGCAUGAAGUCGGAAUUGCUAGUAAUCGCGGAUCAGCAUGCCGCGGUGAAUACGUUCCCG